GGAUUCGGCGAGAGGCUGGGCUUGCCGUCGCUAAGCGCCUGCGGCUCUCCGUACUCUCGGCUCCUUGGAUGUCCGCAGCCGGCUCGGGAUAGGGAUGUGGGUCUCUGGGAGGAGCAAGACGGACGCCAGGGUGUCCCCGAGGGUACGGGGCAAGGGAAGAUGGCACCGCCCGAUGGGCUCCGCGCUCCUUCGCAGCUGACUGCGUUGCCAUGGCAACCGCAGCGCUAAGCGGCGGGAGAAUCAAGCUGCUCGCCCGGGGUGGCUGGGGAAAUCAGUGGGGACCGAGGGGAGAGCAGGGGCCGCCUAAGCUGCCAUCACAUCUGAGAAUCCUUCAGAGCCGCUGACCCCAGUCACUCUGAAGAAUCCUGAUUUUCAACGUAGGCUCCACAAGGGCUUUGCUCCUUACUGGGGCACGUCUGUCUGUCUGUUUUGUUUGUUUCUGAGGGUGGAUCGAGCCGUACCCCGAGUUCUAGCAAACAUUCAUUUGCACUUGGCCUCUUUCCUUUUUUCUGCUUUUGAGGAAAGAUGACUAAAUCGUUAAGAGCCGUUACUCCUCUUCCAGGGAACCUUGUUAUGCUCCAGCGCUUAGACCGUGUGACUCACAACAGCCUGUCUUCCCCAGCUCCAAGCGAUCCAGUACUUCUGGCCUCUGUGGGGGCCACACUCACACAAACACACACUAACACAAAUCUUUUAAAGCUACUAUAAGAAACCUCAUUUUGUGUAGAUAUGUUUCGUUAUAACCAGAUUAUCUUUUCAUGGAGAAGUUGUGGGUUGCAGUAUGUCCGCCCAAAAAUAAAUAAAUAAAUAAAUAAAUAAAUAAAACAAGUUAU
rnacentral:lncRNA from 1 species